GUAUUCUUUCGCGCAUGAACCGCAUCCUGUCCGAACUUCGACGUCGCCGCUCGCUGCUCCCAUAGGGGCGCCGCUGGCUUCGUCACGGUUUGCGCGUAUCAGCUUAGUAUCACGCGCACGCAGUUCAAAUCACGAAAGCCACGGCAUGCCGUGGCUUUUUG
rnacentral:ncRNA from 1 species